GUUGCCUAGCAACCGGGUGCGGGCUCUUUUCCUGCACCCAGGCCUGGGAAAGCCACACCAGGGUCCUGAAUGUUGCAUUACAGGGAUCCUCAGUACUUGCAUCUCAGCUGGCUGUGGCUCCUUGGAGCAGAGGACGGCAAGAUAUCCUUGAUUUAAAUCCUGCCAGUGACACUUGCUCACUAAGAGACCUUAGCCCGGCCCUGAUGCAGACAGACAGCUCGGAUGAAAGGUUAAUCAUCUCUGUGUCCCGGAGCCUUUAUCAGAGGGAGGGAGAGACACAUGCUCGAGACUGAACCGCCAGGCCCACCCUCAGCUUUGGACUGACUGCUCUGCUACCAGUCCUCUCUCUCUCUCCAGGUCACUGUAAAGGCCUAUUAGCACCAGCCUGAAACCAUCUAACCGUCUGAGGUUCUACAAGAGCUAGCAGAGGGUGGAAAAACAUAACUUCUCAGCUGCCUCAUUCACCGGUAUUUAAUGUGGUCGCUCAACUACCCCAACUAAUGGAGAGGAUCCUCUAGGGGCUUCGUUUAUCAGUAUCCCUGCCCCACCCUCUGGGAAUCAUUGUGGGGUGCUUGGCACUUCAAACAGAUACAAAGGAACCACCGCAAAGUGGGGAUUCCUGAUGCCUUCAAACAUAAGCCAUUUUCAUUUUGUCGAAUGAUGAGAUGCUAUGGAGGUAAUUUUCCCAAAUGCUCUACAAUUGGCAACCAAACCAGCCACCGGGAAUCCUCUGUGGUGGCUUCGCACCUCCGCACCACCCAGAUCGCUGGGAUUAGGACAAGCAAAGCUGGGAGAACCUGUCUGACAAGCUGUCCUCCAAGUGGACCAAGAGUUUCUGGUAUAUAGGAACUGGACACUGUUCAUAUGAGUUUUCCCGAAUCACAAUGCAACAUCCGGCAAGGGGAGGCGCUCCAGAAAUGCUUACAGAAGGAACACAUGAGCUCUUGUUCAAGCAUUGACACGUGAGCAUGGAUUUGUACGUAGGUGCCUUUGUGCACGUGUGUGUGCAAGCACAUGUGCGUGUCCUCACUAUAGGCAGACGCUAUGGAUCCGGUUUCAGGUGAGGACUUCAUUCACCAGCUCAGAGGCUCCCAGAGUCAAAGCUCUGCAAAGCGCCCUCUGGCCACAUCUCACUCCCCUAAUUCACAACAAACUCCCUGGUCCUCUGGGUCUGAGGCCUCAGCCUGACUUUUCCAGCUCCCUUCCAGGCAGGAGGGGGCUCAGUGUGUGCCUGGGAGAUGAGGGGGGACUCAGGGGCUCAGAUGUCUCCCAGCCUGGGAAGUCGCUCAGCCACUGUGCAGGGCCCGGGUGGGGUCCCCAGUGUGAUUCUCGGGACCCUCCGGCCUCCUCACAGUCCAGCCCCGGCCCGUCUCUAACCCCAUGGCCCGGGACAGCCUCUCCUCUCCUGUCCCUCGCCACCCUGAUGGCACCCCUCUCUGUGAGCGUCCUGGCUGGAUAAUCGGGCUUUUCAGGCUCCUCCUGCCAGUCCUGACUACCCCCCCCUCGCUGGUCUAACCUCGCGGGGACCUUUCUGUUGACACCCACACGCCUCAUUUCAUCCUUCCGGGAGUUCCUUGGCGGCCCUCUGCGCACAAGGCCUGGCCGGCUCUACCCCCCUCGCAAAGCCAGAAUGCUGCUUUAUUUCCGGAACUCCUAUACAACAAUUAAAAAAAGAAGAAUCAUUCCUGCUGUGUUUAUCUCCAUCAAGAGCUGAAAUAUAACCUGAACCAUUUUUAUCUGAGCACUUUCUGGCUGAGUUUGGGUUGAAGCUGAGGGGAUUUAUGAGAUUGUAAAAGUCAUGCUUUCAGCAAGUCGAACAAAUCAGUGUGUGAAGGAGAAACCAUUGAAAGUGGGGAAAAUGACUGCGGCUUGGCCUGGGCUUGGAAGAUCCAGAAAAGAAGGCACAGAGCCGGAGCAAGGGGACUUUAAGAGUCACAGCGUCGGGCCAAAACUUGCAAAAGACAGCACAGUAAAAAAAAAUAAAAAUAAAAAUAAAAUAAAAUAAAAAAAAAAAAAAAAAAAGACAGCACAGUCACUCUCAGGGGUUAGGGGCCAAACACCUCACCUCUGGAGCAGGAAAAGCGAUGCACGUGUUCUCGAAUAGAAAUUCCAGCAGCAUCCAGAACCCUGCACUCUCGCGGCUAGCUCCGCCUGAACUUUCUUAGACACAAGCCAUCUUGUAUGUAGGAUUGUAAUUGCAUUAGGGGGAAUAAAAAGGUUUGUACGUCUUGAGAAGUUAUGAUACUGAAACAUAGCACCAUAAACCCCCAUUAAGUCAGAAGAAAGAUAAUUGCGUUUCCUGCAGCCUCCCUGGGCUGGCUCGCUGACACGGAGAUAGAUUCACCCCGGCGAAGCAGGGGCUCAUCUCUGUAGCUCGGUACCCAUUUCCCCUCUUAAUUACACGUAACUGCGGAAGUCUAAUUUAUCCGGGCGCCCGGAGCCCAACAGAGCAUCCCCGCGGAGGGAGGGUGACGCUGGGAAGCAGGAGAUUGCAAACCGCGAGCUGUUUUAUGUGUGACCUCCCACGGCGGCGGUGGCGACACUAAAUUCUCACUCUUAGGAUCUCAGGGCCAUGACCAGUUAGGACACUGCUCUGAGAACACAGAUAAAGGUGGCAAUUUGUCUGUCUGCUUUAUGGUCCAUCAGUAAUUCUCUUUUGGGGGAGCGAUGGAGGCAGAUUGAACACGCAGCUCUCAGCUUGUGAUGGAACAGGUGCCCCCAAGGAGCAUUUGUGCGCACGGGGUCGUGCGUCACCCUAUGCACUGCCCUGGGCAGCCCCGCUGCAAAUCUCUGUGGGCCCUCGCUGGGGGACCGUGUUCUAAAGGUUUGAGAAGCGGGUCCACUUGACAAUAAGUGCGAUUCAACUUAGGUCUCUCUGUGACCGCGGAGCUUGUUUGACGAUCACCUUUCAGAAAACUCACUUGCGAGCUCAUUAACGUGGCUGCUGAUUUAAUUAAAGAACAGAGCAGCCCCGAAGCUGGGGCUCUAACCAACCCGGCUCUGUGUCCCUGGCCGGCGACUCCUUUGCCGACCUCCCCGGGCCUCAGCGUCCUCAUCUCAAGAACGGGAAUGGUAUCAAGGCUAUUGCGCGGCUGUCAUGUGCAUUAAGUGAAGUUGACGUGAGUGCAGAUGUACCGCAGAGGCCAGUUCUGAUUCUCCGAUGUCGCUUCAGAGCAGGAAGACGGAUCUCCCCCGUGGGGACACAUUGAAAGGGAAGCCACGUGUAAGAUCUUUCAGAGGAUGCUUUGAUUUGGGGUUCUCAGAACUCAAAGCUGCCUUGGAGAUCUCUGAUGAGACUCCCGCUCAUGGAUUCAUUCGUCUGACAGAUAUUACUAAGUUAAGCACCAAGUCAUAAACAAACACAGGGACUGUAAAUAGGACAUGGCCUCUGCCUCGAGGCUAGUGCUGAAGCAGGUAUAACAAGUGAGCACGGCCGAGUUGGUGUCGGACUGCUGGCUGCUUACCUCUCCUUUGCUGAUAGAAAUGGGAUCUGUUUGGGAAGCAAAGCGUCCAACUCAAGGGGACAGAUCAACCCUGCCAAUCAUGACAAUCCCACGAGUGGGCAUUUAACCACUUCUGGCCAAUGAGCUGGGAGGGCCCCUCGGCUGGGGGCUUCUGGGAAAUGUUUUUCUCCCAGAAAACUAGAGGGCCCCCUUCUGGUUUCUAUUCAGAGCCACAGCUGGAAAGAACAUAACCCCGAAGCUUGCAAAGGACAGAAGCCAGAGUAGCAGCAAGUGCAUGACUUUUCUAGAUCCCAACAGGGCAGUUAACAGUCUCAAAGCCUAAGGAGAGAGAGGCGCCUGCAGGGAGAGAGGACUGUCUUACCUGGGCUGGAUGUAGCCAGAACUAGCAGGAAGCGUUCAGCUGGGGCAGUGGUUCUAACCAGGGGGUGAUUUUGUCCCCCAGGGGGCAUCUGGCCUUGUCUGAGAACAUUAUUGUCACAACAGGACUGGAAGAGCUACUGUCACGUAGGGGGUGGAGGCCAGGGAGGCUGCUAAACAUCCCACGAUGCACUAGACAGCUCCCACAGCAGACGGUGAGCCAGCUUGGAUUGCCACUAGUGUCAAGGUCGAGAAAAGUUGAAAUGAACCACCAUUGCCUCUCGGCCAGACAAUAGAAGAUGUGGCCUUGGAGGACUUUGAUCUGCCCUCCCAGACUCCUCAUAGCCUCUGAAUAAACCACCCCCGAAUACAAGUAAAAGCUAAGCAAAAUCUGUGUGCCUUAGCAGCCUCACCGUCCCGACCAGCCCCUCAGCUCACUGCA